rnacentral:rRNA from 1 species
GAUGAACGCUGGCGGCGUGCCUAAUACAUGCAAGUCGAGCGAACAGACGAGGAGCUUGCUCCUCUGACGUUAGCGGCGGACGGGUGAGUAACACGUGGAUAACCUACCUAUAAGACUGGGAUAACUUCGGGAAACCGGAGCUAAUACCGGAUAAUAUAUUGAACCGCAUGGUUCAAUAGUGAAAGACGGUUUUGCUGUCACUUAUAGAUGGAUCCGCGCCGCAUUAGCUAGUUGGUAAGGUAACGGCUUACCAAGGCGACGAUGCGUAGCCGACCUGAGAGGGUGAUCGGCCACACUGGAACUGAGACACGGUCCAGACUCCUACGGGAGGCAGCAGUAGGGAAUCUUGCGCAAUGGGCGAAAGCCUGACGGAGCCACGCCGCGUGAGUGAUGAAGGUCUUCGGAUCGUAAAACUCUGUUAUUAGGGAAGAACAAAUGUGUAAGUAACUAUGCACGUCUUGACGGUACCUAAUCAGAAAGCCACGGCUAACUACGUG